rnacentral:rRNA from 1 species
UACGGAGGAUGCAAGCGUUAUCCGGAAUUAUUGGGCGUAAAGAGCUCGUAGGUGGCUUGUCGCGUCUGCCGUGAAAGCCCGUGGCUUAACUACGGGUCUGCGGUGGAUACGGGCAGGCUAGAAGCUGGUAGGGGCAAGCGGAAUUCCUGGUGUAGCGGUGAAAUGCGCAGAUAUCAGGAGGAACACCGGUGGCGAAGGCGGCUUGCUGGGCCAGUUCUGACGCUGAGGAGCGAAAGCGUGGGGAGCGAACAGG